UUUGCUUUUCAGGAGAUUCCAAUUAAAUACGAACAUUUAUUUAAAAAAUGGCAAAAUGAAAAGCCGGUGGCACUUUUUUCUUUUAUCGGAGGAAUUAACACACAUCUGCCAAAUGAAAAGACUAAAAUUCAACUUAAAAGGUGUUUGCGUGAAAUAGUUAAAAAAGCAAAUUUUUGGAUUAUAACUCAAGGAAGAAAUACAGGUGUUGGGAAGAUUGUCGAAGAAAUGAAUAUUGGAGAAAAGAAAUACCAUGUUUGUCACAAUGGUUCAUGUACAAUGUACGAGGAUCAAGAAAUGAAUCGUUUGGAGGACAGAUUCAUCUAUGAACUUCUACGAACUGAAGAAAACCUUGAAGCCAGCAU